GACAGAGGGUGCGAACGUUGUUCGGAAUUACUGGGCGUAAAGCGCGUGUAGGCGGCUCGGAAAGUCGUGUGUGAAAUCCCUGGGCUCAACCCAGGAACUUCGCACGAAACUCCCAAGCUUGAGUGCCGGAGAGGAAGGCGGAAUUCUCGGUGUAGAGGUGAAAUUCGUAGAUAUCGAGAGGAACACCAGUGGCGAAGGCGGCCUUCUGGACGGACACUGACGCUGAGACGCGAAAGCGUGGGGAGCAAACAGG
rnacentral:rRNA from 1 species